rnacentral:rRNA from 1 species
GUCCUUUAGAGUAUAAUUAAAGGUUUAACCUGCCCACUGAAAAAUUUGAAUGGCCGCAGUAAAUUGACUGUGCAAAGGUAGCAUAAUCAAUAGUUUUUUAAUUAAAAGCUUGUAUGAAUGGUUGGACGAGAUAAAAUCUGUCUUUAGAUUAAAUAUAGAAUUUAAUUUUUAAGUUAAAAAGCUUAAAUUAAAUUAAAAGACGAGAAGACCCUAUAGAUCUUAAUAAUUAUUAAGUUAAAAAUAUAUAGGAAUAGGAUUUAUUAUAAUUUAAUAAUUAUUUUAUUGGGGUAAUAGAAAGAUUUAAUAAAUUCUUUUUUAUUAAUAACAGUAAUUUUUGAAUUGUUGAUCCAUUAUUAAUGAUUAAAAGAUUAAGUUACCUUAGGGAUAACAGCGUAAUUUUUUUAAAGAGUUCAUAUCGAUAAAAAAGUUUGCGACCUCGAUGUUGGAUUAAAAAUUAUUUUAGGUGUAGUAGUUUAGAAUUUUGGUCUGUUCGACCAUUAAAUUUUU